ensembl:snRNA U6 U6 spliceosomal RNA
GUGCCCGCUUCAGCAGCACAUUUACUGCAAUUGGAACAAAACAGAGAAGAUUAUGCAAGAUGUCAUCCUGCAUAAGGAUGACAUGCAAUUUCAUAAAGCAUUCCAUAUGUUU